UGAGGAAUCUUGCGCAAUGGGGGAAACCCUGACGCAGCAACGCCGUGUGAGUGAUGAAGGUUUUCGGAUCGUAAAGCUCUGUUUGAAGGGACGAGACGUAUUUGAUUAAUACUCACAUAACUUGACGGUACCUUCAGAGGAAGCACCGGCUAACUCCGUGCCAGCAGCCGCGGUAAUACGGAGGGUGCAAGCGUUGUUCGGAAUCACUGGGCGUAAAGGGCGUGUAGGUGGCUAAUUAAGUCAGGUGUGAAAUCCUUCCGCUUAACGGGAGAAGUGCACUUGAAACUGCUUAGCUAGAGUACGGGAGAGGAAGGUGGAAUUCCUGGUGUAGAGGUGAAAUUCAUAUAUAUCGGGAAGAACACCGGUGGCGAAGGCGGCCUUCUGGCCCGAUACUGACGCUGAGACGCGAAAGCGUGGGGGGCAAACA
rnacentral:rRNA from 1 species